AGGCCAGGCUACCAAUGAAGUCAGAGUGCAUUUUCCUUGUAAAUAGAGCGUCGAAUGCUUGGUUUCUGCUGCAGAUGGCCAGACUGCACUACUUUCAGACAAAUCUCUGUGCAGCACGUGAAAAUGUGGGAAGAACGGGAGGAAAUCUGUGAUUUUAAUAAAGCGUUGGUACACCAAAACCCCCUCUCAGGGAGGUUUAGGAGAGCUAUGCCCCAGGCCGGUCACCAGAGGGCAAGACGCAAAGGAGGGCGAGAUACAAAAGGUCUGAAUCCUUACAUACUUAGGAAGAACUUUGGGAUGAGAAUGGAUUAUAUGAUGAGAAAUAAUUUUCCGGGUUCAGAAUUUCCUGAGGGUUCAUGCAAAAUGUUAACCCAGUGGGCUGGGCUUGAGCAUCAUACAUAUGCUGACUUAGAAUCUGGCUUGGUCAUUUGCAGCUCCGUGGCUUUGAGCAAAGGAAUUAUUCGCUGAAGCUUAGUUUCCACAUCUAUUAAGUGAGAUCGUGGUACCUGCCUCAAGGAAUUAUUGUCAAGUUUCCAAAUGAGUUGAGGCUACCUCAGACCUCUCUCCAAUAUAGUUACAGCCCAAACAAUAAAUACAGGUAGAAAUGUUUAAAACGACCAUAACAUACCUUAAUAUGAUUUGGGGCACCUGUUGAAUAUAUUAGGGAAACUGGAGGAUGGAAAAUAGUGCAGUCAUUAAGGGUGAGAAUGGGGUUUAUCUGUAUAGAGGGACACGGAAAGGAUGCUCAUAAUAUAGAAACUGAAAGAAAAGCAGGUUGCAAAAGAAUGUGACCUCUUUGCUCCGGCCACUAGGCUCAAGACCUUUACGUACAAUGAACCACAUAUUACAGUAGUGUUCCAUUGUUGUCCCCCCUCACGUUGUUAUCCCCGCAUUUUACAGAUGAGAAAACUCAGAACGGUCAAGAUUAAGUAAUAACCCCCAACUCUGUCACUGUACAGAGUGACAAAGUGGAGCUCUGUACCAUGGUCCCUCUGAUUCUCAGCCCUUGCCUUCUGUGCCUUUCCACGAGCCCUGAGGUGAAGAUGGGGAACAGAAGAUGCCAUUGUCCACGGAGAAGCCGAUGGAUGGCUGUGCACAUGGAGUGAUGGAGUUCUCUCAAGUCAAGAGGAUAUUUUUCUUCCCAUCUUCCCUUUGAGCAGAUUAUACCAACAGGCCCAACAGCCUGCUCCCAGUAGACAGAAUCUUGCCGAGAUUCCGUGGGCGAAGACAGGACCCGGACCACGCCUUCGGAGAGAAAUUUGACAGGCUUUCUGUCAAUUUCACAGCGUGCAUCACUUCUGACCCAGCACACUCGAGGUCUGUGAAUAUGCCAGAGUUAGCCCGGCACAUCUGCCUGUGAGACACGCGGAAAGAUGUUCCUUGCAGAAUCAGUGGACUGUCUGAAUACAUGUGGCAAUUCAUCUGCUGGAACACAGUAUCAUCAUCAAAAGCUGCGGAAAGAGAUGAGACAGACGGGUAGAUCUUUAACAACUAAACAAGCUGCAGAAUACUGCCGGCAGCAUGAGACCAUUUAUGUGAAAGCUGAAAGCACAACGCUCAUCUUGUUCAAGGAUUCAUGUGUAUGCGAUGCAAAGGAAUAAAAACUGGGCUAGAAAGACACCAAACAGUGGUUAGCUUUAGGAAGAAGGGAGGUGACCGGCCUGGAAGAGGAGACAGAAGAAUCUGUAGUUUUACUUGCCAAUGUUUUAUUUCUUCUGUUUUUGUUUUUUUUUUUAACGAAAACCAAACAUGGGACCUCAUAACAACUACUCUAGGAAGGGGCCACUUCUAUGUGUGUUUCAGGAUUCUCUGCCCUUUCCCCCACUUUUUAGAGGUUUCAGAAUGUGAGAAAUGUGAGGAAGAAAGCACAGCAAAAGCAGGGGGAGGAAGAAGGGAAGGAGGCAGCUCUGUAGCGCGUCUGGUGGGUUUGAAAAUCCAACUAAGAGCCAUGGCGACUAUCACAAGGGCGUCCAAAUGGACUGAAAAACAUCCAAAGCAGCAGUAGUGAACCAAACAACGAAUUCAUCUAAAUAUAUUUGAAAAUAAUGAUAUCCCUUUUUAGUAUUAAAAAUAAAAGCCUUUGGGGCACCUGGGUGGUUUA